UCCCAUGACAUGACUGCAGGAUUCCAAAAUUACCACCAUCUACUAGCCAAAUGCCGGUAAAAUAUGCAGGUGGUUGGCAGAUUUGCUUCACUCACGAGCC